rnacentral:lncRNA from 1 species
AGAUUCAGCACUGCAUUGCGACAAAUUAUCAAACACUUGGUGUGCGACAUCAUCAAUUUUUGCAGAACUUGUCCCUGUCUUUUUUACGAGCACCUUGCCUACAAGAUUAUCUUGUGAAGCAGUAUAAGCAUUCUGAUUUGCUUGGACAACAUCCAAGCAACCAGCCAGACCAGAAGUAGCAGAUGUUUGGGAUUUACCUGAACUUGAGGUAGUACCCUUCACCAUAAUUUGCUUUGCAGCUGAGUGCGAUUGACGACCCUUGUUCUUCCCCAUCAAGAGCAGUUCAAACUGGCAACUAUUUCAUAGCCCAAGAUGAGAAAAAGUGAUAGGGCACGCGAUUGGAAAACACAAGGAAAAACUUUAGAGACCGAGGCAGUUAAAACUUCCUAGGAUCAAAGAAGGAACCCCAGUGUUUGUAGAGAGCAAAAACCCACUCCAUCGGUAGACAAGCCACUGGGCAACACCCAAGGACGGAAGGAACCUCACUAUAGUUACUAAGGUGGAGUUUAGUCGUAACGGUCACGUUCGCUGUUUUUUAACCCCA